rnacentral:rRNA from 1 species
AGUGAACGCUGGCGGUAGGCCUAACACAUGCAAGUCGAGCGGCAGCACAGUAAGAGCUAGCUCUUACGGGUGGCGAGUGGCGGACGGGUGAGGAAUACAUCGGAAUCUACUUUUUCGUGGGGGAUAACGUAGGGAAACUUACGCUAAUACCGCAUACGACCUACGGGUGAAAGCAGGGGAUCUUCGGACCUUGCGCGAUUGAAUGAGCCGAUGUCGGAUUAGCUAGUUGGCGGGGUAAAGGCCCACCAAGGCGACGAUCCGUAGCUGGUCUGAGAGGAUGAUCAGCCACACUGGAACUGAGACACGGUCCAGACUCCUACGGGAGGCAGCAGUGGGGAAUAUUGGACAAUGGGCGCAAGCCUGAUCCAGCCAUACCGCGUGGGUGAAGAAGGCCUUCGGGUUGUAAAGCCCUUUUGUUGGGAAAGAAAAGCAGCAGGUUAAUACCCCGCUGUUCUGACGGUACCCAAAGAAUAAGCACCGGCUAACUUCGUG